rnacentral:lncRNA from 1 species
UUGCCCGGUGUGGAGCAUAUAGGGCAAAAAGCCCAGCUGAGUCCUACCCACCUUCAGCAGCACUCUCCUGCAAGAUUAGAUAACACUAGAGCUGGCCUCCAGGGAGGGUAAAGGAAAAGUUGUAAACCUAAAAAGCAAUAGGCAUAAUUGCUCAUAAAUAUUUGUAUGCAAGAAAAGUAAAGCACUUCACUGAUAGUUUGCCAAUUGCUAAUAGGUUGCUCUGCAAAUAUCCUGUUUCCCCUAGGGAUGUAUGAUAAUGAAGCUGGUAUCCUCUUUUUCCAACCAACCAGCUGCUGGAAAUUAUGCCAGAAUCAAACCAAAGCCUGAAGUGGGUUCUGCUACCCUCACUUCUGUGUGUCAUUGUGACCCCAAAGUUGCAGCAAUUGCUCUUUCUGGUAAUGAGUAACGUGAUUAGGACAUUUCUGGAUGUUUCCGCUCCCUCCUGCUGAAUUUUGGGACUUUUUUUUAUGCUUGUGCUGUACGAUAUAUACGUACAGAAGCCAUAAUAUUUCAGCUUCGGAAAUAUCAUAGUAUGGCUCUGAUUUCUGCUGUGAUGACAGACAUUAGAGCCCACUGAAAUCAGCGUGGCUCUGGAUGGUUACCAUGGUUCUUCAGCUAGGCUCAGAUGGAAGGAUCUGCUUCUGUGUUAACAUGUUAGAAGAAACAAAGGGAACUGGAUUUUGUAUUCUAUAAAGAAUCAACAGUGUUCUCAUGUUCCUGUCCUGUUCCCCAUUGUCCUAAAAUGCAAAGAAGGCCGUCUCCUGAAAAUGUCACGUCAGCAUGUAUUUUAAUAUGUAUAUAAAUAUAUUCCACUGCUGUGAAUGCUGUUGUAGCACCACUGGGUAGGUUGUAGAGAUGAGUUCCUGUAGAUUUAAACAUUAUGUCAAUCACACCUCCUCAAAGCAGAGUUAAGAGACAGACAGCUUUCAUCAAAGGCCAGAAGAGCAUCUCCCUAUACCAGUACUGCCAAUAAGAUUUAGAUCAACUCCACUGCAUUGAAAUACAGUGGAUUUGCUACCAUGGGGUCUCCAAAAUUGCGAGUACCUGUUUGCUAGCCACAGUUAGCUGCAACUGAUAGGUAAUUUACACAAUUUCCUUAGGUUUUAGACAAUACUUUAAAUGAAAGGGUAGUAGAAAACAACACUUGGAAAGAGGAGGAGAGGGAGUGGGUAGUUACAGUACCGAACUACAGAAGAACUUUAUUUCACAAUAACCGUGCUGCUGUGUGUGGAUAAAUCACUGAUUGUUCUCUUAUCCCUGUACUGCUAUGAAGAAUUUACCAAAAAAAAAAAAAAAAAAAGCCACCAAACCAAACCAGAAAAACAAGGAAGCAGCAGAACAUGAAUUCAAGAGCAGAAUGGGAUUGCACAGGGAGAUUCUGCACUGAACUGAAACAUUCAUGUUUU